AGCCAUGCAGUAAGCACAAAGCGAGUUAUUCUUUUGCCUUUUACUAAAGAAUACCAUGUGCUCGUUGCAAAUAGUGGCAUAUACCUAUUUUUGGAGAGGUUCUUCUCAAUUGGGAUU